AUGGAUCUUCAUUCAGUUAUUCUGCUCUGUGUCUCAGCUGCUGUUGCCCUUGGAGAUGUCAUCAAACCAGACCAAACAUAUGUUGUUCAUGAGGAGGAUUCAAGUGUUACAUUAUCCUGCAGUUUUUCUGCUUCAGGACGUACAGAUUAUCUCCACUGGUACCAUCAGUAUGGAAGAUCAAAACCUGAAUUUCUUGUACUCACCUAUGACACUGCAAAAGUUGCUCAGCGGUCUGAUGUAGAUCCAAGAUUCUCUGUUAACAUUCCAAAAAGAGAACAUGUGGAUCUGAAGAUCUCCUCUGCUGCUGUAUCAGACUCUGCUCUGUACUACUGUGCUCUGGUGCCCACAGUGACAGGAAACACAUCAGCUCUCUACAAAAACCUGUUACAGUAA